rnacentral:lncRNA from 1 species
GAAUAACACUUGCUGUUUACUGAGAAGUAGCCCUGCUCAUUUCUCUUUGGCGUUCUCUCUGGCCACCAGGUUUUCUGGGACUUGGUCUUUAUUUUAAACAGUUUGUAGAUAGAGACGAUGGAAUUUUGAAGUUAAUAGAAAGAAGCUGCAGUGACACUAUUAAUCCAAGAAAAAGUCUGCCAAACCUUACUUUACACUUUGAGAAAAUGUUUUGCUUGUUUUCAGUCUGGCCUCAUCACAGUCAUUUUGAACACACACACACACACACACACACAUACACUGUAGUGGGUUGAAUGGUGGCCCCUCAAAAGAUACAUUCACCUGGAACUUGUGAAUGUGACUCUAUUUAGAAAAAUGGUUUUUGCAGAUCUAAUAAGGAUCCUGAAAUGAGAUCAACCUGGAUUAUCCAGGUGGGCCCUAUAGCUAAUGACAAGUGUAGUAUAAGAGACAAGAGAAGACACGGGAGGGCAGAAGGCAAUGUGAAGACAGAGGCAAAGACUGGAGUGAUGCAACUGCAAGCCAAAGAAUCCCUGGAGCUGUCAGAGAUUGGAAGAGGCGAGGAAGCUUCUCCCCUGAGUCUUCAGAGGGAGCACAAGCCUGCCGACACGGUGAUUUUGGACUUCUGGCCUCCAGAACGCAUCACUCGCCUUACCAACUGCUCUCUGCUCCUCGUACCACCUGGGCCGCUGUGAGCUCAACUGAAUCGGCAGAACUCGUCAGGGGCAGCACCAUAAUUGUGCAGGCCUGGCUCUGAGCGCUUCCGGUUCCUUUUGCUGGUUCCUUACCCUCAUUCUAAUUGUCAAGUUCACUGCAAACUAUAGUUCUACCAAGUGCUGCAAAGAAGAACGUACAAGCUUUACUGGGAGCUCAGACUCGGAAGAGUUCCUUCAGAGCAUUCAAAACCAAAAAAGAAACAGACAAAAAAGUGAUGCAUCUUUUCGGUCAGUAAGAUCAUCCAUUUCAGGGUACUGUCAGUCAAGUUGUUUUGAAGAGCCCCCCAGGGCUGCCAGGUUUGUCUUCUUGAGUGGUUCUAUAAUGUACAGAGCUUCUUAACCACAGCUCCUUGGUUCAUUCUCACAGAUAAGAAGGCGUCUUUGCCUCUUUUUGCCCAACAUCCAGGCAUGUGCCAGGUUCCCUCUGAUCUUCAUGAUAUCAGAGCUAAUUUUAGGCCCCAGACAUGGCUUCUAGCCAGAGUGUUCAUGUGACCAGCUCCCGAAUAUGCUGUGGGGAGCACGAGAACUACUAUCUGGAAUGAUGAUCCGAUUUCUCUGAGCAGCGUGCUUUGUAGACAGACGACUCCAUGGCUGGACGGACUGUGAACAGCUUGAACGUCCGUAUGUGGUUGCUUCUUGGAUAUCUCUUCAUCACCAUAUUUGAGGACAUCUGCUGUUGGGGAUCCUGUGAAAUGAAUUAAUCUGUGAUUUGAUCAGUCUGCACAUGUAACCUGGAUAUGCUCUUUUUCUUUGCUCCUACUAUGCAAAUGUACAGUUAUUAAUACCCAUUAGUACUCCACAGAUGCUGACACAGCGAUGUAGUUAAGAAUGCUC